rnacentral:rRNA from 1 species
GGGUUGUGAGGUUAAGCGACUAAGCGUACACGGUGGAUGCCCUGGCAGUCAGAGGCGAUGAAGGACGUGCUAAUCUGCGAAAAGCGUCGGUAAGGUGAUAUGAACCGUUAUAACCGGCGAUGUCCGAAUGGGGAAACCCAGUGCAAUUCGUUGCACUAUCGUUAACUGAAUACAUAGGUUAACGAGGCGAACCGGGGGAACUGAAACAUCUAAGUACCCCGAGGAAAAGAAAUCAACCGAGAUUCCCCCAGUAGCGGCGAGCGAACGGGGAGCAGCCCAGAGUCUGAAUCAGCUUGUGUGUUAGUGGAACGGUCUGGAAAGUCCGACGGUACAGGGUGAUAGUCCCGUACACCAAAAUGCACAGGUUGUGAACUCGAAGAGUAGGGCGGGACACGUGGUAUCCUGUCUGAAUAUGGGGGGACCAUCCUCCAAGGCUAAAUACUCCUGACUGACCGAUAGUGAACCAGUACCGUGAGGGAAAGGCGAAAAGAACCCCGGCGAGGGGAGUGAAAAAGAACCUGAAACCGUGUACGUACAAGCAGUGGGAGCACCUUCGGGUGUGACUGCGUACCUUUUGUAUAAUGGGUCAGCGACUUAUAUUCUGUAGCAAGGUUAACCGUAUAGGGGAGCCGCAGGGAAACCGAGUCUUAACUGGGCGUUAAGUUGCAGGGUAUAGACCCGAAACCCGGUGAUCUAGCCAUGGGCAGGUUGAAGGUUGGGUAACACUAACUGGAGGACCGAACCGACUAAUGUUGAAAAAUUAGCGGAUGACUUGUGGCUGGGGGUGAAAGGCCAAUCAAACCGGGAGAUAGCUGGUUCUCCCCGAAAGCUAUUUAGGUAGCGCCUCGUGAAUUCAUCUUCGGGGGUAGAGCACUGUUUCGGCUAGGGGGUCAUCCCGACUUACCAACCCGAUGCAAACUACGAAUACCGAAGAAUGUUAUCACGGGAGACACACGGCGGGUGCUAACGUCCGUCGUGAAGAGGGAAACAACCCAGACCGCCAGCUAAGGUCCCAAAGUCAUGGUUAAGUGGGAAACGAUGUGGGAAGGCACAGACAGCCAGGAUGUUGGCUUAGAAGCAGCCAUCAUUUAAAGAAAGCGUAAUAGCUCACUGGUCGAGUCGGCCUGCGCGGAAGAUGUAACGGGGCUAAACCAUGCACCGAAGCUGCGGCAGCGACACUAUGUGUUGUUGGGUAGGGGAGCGUUCUGUAAGCCUGCGAAGGUGUGCUGUGAGGCAUGCUGGAGGUAUCAGAAGUGCGAAUGCUGACAUAAGUAACGAUAAAGCGGGUGAAAAGCCCGCUCGCCGGAAGACCAAGGGUUCCUGUCCAACGUUAAUCGGGGCAGGGUGAGUCGACCCCUAAGGCGAGGCCGAAAGGCGUAGUCGAUGGGAAACAGGUUAAUAUUCCUGUACUUGGUGUUACUGCGAAGGGGGGACGGAGAAGGCUAUGUUAGCCGGGCGACGGUUGUCCCGGUUUAAGCAUGUAGGCUGGUUAUCCAGGCAAAUCCGGAUAAUCAAGGCUGAGGUGUGAUGACGAGGCACUACGGUGCUGAAGUAACAAAUGCCCUGCUUCCAGGAAAAGCCUCUAAGCAUCAGGUAACAUCAAAUCGUACCCCAAACCGACACAGGUGGUCAGGUAGAGAAUACCAAGGCGCUUGAGAGAACUCGGGUGAAGGAACUAGGCAAAAUGGUGCCGUAACUUCGGGAGAAGGCACGCUGGUGUGUAGGUGAAG